AUCCAGCUGACGAGUCACAAAUAAGACGAAGCGCGCGACCAAGAU
rfam:Schistosoma rodhaini strain Burundi genome assembly, scaffold: SROB_scaffold0002589